CACCCUAAAGCUAGCCUUUUAAUUAAAGACACCACACAAACAUCAAUAACCCCUAAAACCCUACAUAAACCUUAAACAAACCAUUCUCCCCCUUUAGUAUAGGCGAUAGAACAAGACAUAAGAGCAAUAGAAGAAGUACCGCAAGGGAACGCUGAAAGAGAAAUGAAACAACCCUGUAGAAGUAACAAGAAGCAGAGAUUUUACCUCGUACCUUUUGCAUCAUGAUUUAGCCAGCAAACCCAAGCAAAGAGCCCUUCAGUUUGAGCCCCCGAAACUAAGCGAGCUACUCCAAGACAGCCUAUAAAUAGGGCGAACUCGUCUCUGUGGCAAAAGAGUGAGAAGAGCUUUGAGUAGAGGUAAAAAACCAACCGAGCCUAGUUAUAGCUGGUUGCCUGGGACUUGGAUAGAAGUUCAGCCUCCCGGCCCUUUCCACCACACUUUCAAAUGACCCCCUUCUGGCCAAGAAGAAGCCGAGAGAGUUAAUCAAAGGGGGUACAGCCCCUUUGAUAGAAGAUACAACUUUUUCAAGAGGAUAAAGAUCAUAUAUUAAACCGUAUACUAGGUGGGCCUAAAAGCAGCCAUCCUCAUGGAAAGCGUCUCAGCUCAAGUAUAACCCCCCCCCCCCCCCCCAAUACUGACAAUUUAAUCUUAUUCCCUUAAAUAUACCAGGCCCUUCCAUGCAAGCAUGGAAAAGAUUAUGCUAAUAUGAGUAAUAAGAGGGCUACCCCCUCUCCCCGCACAAGUGUAAGUCGGAACGGACCCCCCACCGAGCUUUAACGGCCCCAACCAAAGAGGGCAAUGUCCAAGGAACCAAAUAACAGGAAACCCCCCCAAUAAGUUACCGUUACCCCCACACUGGUAGUCCCCCAAGGGAAAGCUGAAAGAAAGAGAAGGAACUCGGCAAACAUACAUUAAGCCUCGCCUGUUUACCAAAAACAUCGCCUCUUGCAAUCAUAAUGAAUAAGAGGCCCCGCCUGCCCUGUGACUAAUUUAGUUUAACGGCCGCGGUAUCAUGACCGUGCAAAGGUAGCGUAAUCACUUGUCUUUUAAAUGGAGACCCGUAUGAAUGGCCUUACGAGGGCUUAGCUGUCUCCUCUCUCCAGUCAAUGAAAUUGAUCUCCCCGUGCAGAAGCGGGGAUGACUACAUAAGACGAGAAGACCCUAUGGAGCUUUAGACACUAGAACAGACUAUAUACACUAGUCUUAACACAAUACAGAACCAAAAAAGACCCCUGUUCCAAUGUCUUCGGUUGGGGCGACCACGGGGCAAUACAAAACCCCCGCGCGGAACAAGGACAAACCUCCACAAGCAAGAGCCCCCGCUCUAACUAACAGAAUUUCUGUCCAUAAAGACCCGGCUAAGGCCGAUCAACGAACCGAGUUACCCUAGGGAUAACAGCGCAAUCCUCUUCUAGAGACCCUAUCGACAAGAGGGUUUACGACCUCGAUGUUGGAUCAGGACAUCCUAAUGGUGCAGCCGCUAUUAAGGGUUUGUUUGUUCAACAAUUAAUAGUCCUACGUGAUCUGAGUUCAGACCGGAGUAAUCCAGGUCAGUUUCUAUCUAUGAUAUGCUCUUUUCUAGUACGCAAGGACCGAGAAGAGGGGGCCCAUGUUAAAAAUACGCCCCUCCCCCCACCUAAUGAAGACAACUAAAAUAGGCAAUAGGACAUACCCUAUUUACGCCUGAGAUAACGGCAU
rnacentral:rRNA from 1 species